UGUCCACAAAACAUUCGUUGUUGAAUUGACAAUUGACUGUGAAAGUCUCAACCACGACACCAUGAGGACCUUUGUUUUGAUGGUCGCUUUUGCCCUUAUAGCGGCCGCGGUGAUGACAGAGGCACAAUACGAUGAACCGGACUCUGUAGGAGGCUCGCUUGACAGCGAUCCCUCUCAGGGUGCUGGGAGUCAAGAUGGAGAAGGAUCAAAAGGAGGAAAUCCAAACGGAGAGCCAGGAAACGUGGCGAAGGGAAAUCAAGGAGGAAAAGGACCAGGAGGAAAUAGACCAGGAGUAAAAGGACCAGGAGGAAAAGGAGGACAAAAUGGAAAACUUAAAGGACAAGGAAAUAAUGGACAAAUGGGGCCAGGAAAUAAGGGAGAAUCAAAGGGACUAGGAAAGAAUGGAGGAAAAAUGGGACAGGGAAAUAAUGGAGGAUCACAAAUGGAACAAGGAGAUAAUGGAGGAUCACAAAUGGAACAAGGAAGUAACGGAGGAAAAAGGAGACAAGGAAAUAAUGGAGGACCAAAGGGACAAAGUCCAAAAACACAAGGUCAAAAAACACCAAACAGAGGGGGCAUUAACGCAUCAAAAUCAGGAAGAAAAGGGAAAGCAUCAGGUAAAAAUCAAUAAUCAAUGAAGUAAACCAAAAUUAUGUAUUCCUGAUUGCCUACUUAAGCACACCUACAAAAUAUGAUGUAAAUGCGCAAUAAAUAUUUGAAACAAUUGUAAAUA